CCUACGGGUGGCAGCAGUGGGGAAUAUUGCACAAUGGGGGAAACCCUGAAGCAGCGACGCCGCGUGAGGGAAGAAGUAAUUAGUUAUGUAAAGCUCUAUCAGUAGGGAAGAAAAUGACGGUAUCUGAGUAAGAAGCACCGGCUAACUACGUGCCAGCAGCCGCGGUAAUACGUAGGGUGCAAGCGUUAUCCGGAUUUACUGGGUGUAAAGGGGGCGUAGACGGCGUUGCAAGUCUGAUGUGAAAGGCUGGGGCUCAACCACCGGACUGCUUUUGAAACUGUAAGUCUGGAGUGUAGGAGAGGUAAGUGGAAGUCGUAGGGUAGCGGUGAAAUGAGUAGAUAUUAAGAGGAACAC
rnacentral:rRNA from 1 species